GUAAUGUCUGGGAAACUGCCUGAUGGAGGGGGGUAACUACUGGAAACGGUAGCUAAUACCGCAUAACGUCGCAAGACCAAAGAGGGGGACCUUCGGGCCUCUUGCCAUCGGAUGUGCCCAGAUGGGAUUAGCUAGUAGGUGGGGUAACGGCUCACCUAGGCGACGAUCCCUAGCUGGUCUGAGAGGAUGACCAGCCACACUGGAACUGAGACACGGUCCAG
rnacentral:rRNA from 1 species